CUUUGGACAUAUCACCCUGAAUGCACCUGAUCUCAUCUGAUCUUGGAAGUGAAACAGAGUCAGGCCUGGUUAGUCUUUGGAUGGGGAAAAUCUAGACACAUCACUGG
ensembl:rRNA 5S_rRNA 5S ribosomal RNA